UUGCGAGUCUACUAUGGAGAUGUCUCGUAAUAAGGUUUAAAAUGAAUAUAUAUGAAUUUCUGGUUGCUCGUCUGCAGCUGUUACAGAACAAAGAAGAGUUUAAGAUAGUAGUGAGUGAGGCUAAACUACCAGACGUGGAGCCAGUGACGGUUCUUCCUGGACCCGUUCAAAUUCUAAUAUUAACCAUUUAAGACCUGAACCUCUGUCUGCGCACACAAAGAAGCUUGCGGUAUUUGAAUUACUGUAACUCACGAUGGACAAUAUUCAAAGUGUGGCUGAACACUGCCAAUGCUGCCAUUACGGUAAUUAUGACGCGCCGCUGCUGUCGGCUCCUGGUUGAACGACGCACGAUUGCGGAGCCCCAGGAAGAGAGAGUUGUUUGGAGUAAUUUGUGGGUAAAAACGAAGUUAUACCCUUGAGAUGUCACGAAUGACUUCCAGACAAAAGCACAACUUCCCAGUUGUUACCGGCCUGAGCAUUCUCCUUUAAGGAGGUGGCCUUAUGGGUAGUGUUUUUGUUUUUUUUUUGUUUUUUUUGGAAUAACGUUACGCUGGGAAGAAGUGUGUGUGAGGUAACACCGGUUACAGCCCCUGAAACUAUACAGUCAGUGUAAAUAAACUCCACUCUGCAGCCACGAAAGUACUGUGUUGUAUGAAAGGAAGAAAAGUGCCAAAUAAAGCCCCGGUCCAUGUGUUCAACUACUCCGCCUCUCCUCUGUGUGUGCGCGCAAUUAACCCGGACUGCUAGUUACUAGCAUCAACGAGCCAAGCUAAGAUUCUGACAGAUUUCACACUGAUCAACAUGUUUCCUCCAUGUAAUAUCUGAGCUCUGGGUAACCCUAACCCUAACCCUGUCCCGUGUUUGUCUGGGUGUCUACAAAAAUGAUGCAUUUGAAACGGCCUAAAAAAUGUGUGGUUCUUCUUUAUGGAGUUAACAACAAGGAAACGUCUGUCAUUAAUAAAUGCUGUGCACUUAAAAUGUUGUAAAAUCGAGAGGAAGUUGGGAGCCUUAAGGUUCUUUGAAAGACAUUUAACGCCACCUAGUGGAGAAAAUACAGAAAAAGUCAAGAAAGAAGUUUAUUAUGGCUCCAAAGUCAUGUGACAACAGAAUAUUAACAUUAUCCUUUAAACUGACAAAUAACAUCUGUGUUAUUUAAGAUAUUCUUAAAUGUUUAUAGCUAAUAUUAACUUCUGUUCCCAUAGAAUUGCAUUAUCAAUACCUUCUUCUACACAUUGUUUGUGUCAGUAUUAUGUCUCCACAUUCAUAUGGACCUUUUCUCUAUUCGUACAGAUUAUGUAUCUGUGUCAGUUCUAUUAUGUCAGUAGUGGUUAGAAAUAAAUCUCUGUGUUGCAAUGCAGAGAAAAAAUAGUGAAUCAGAUCACGAAACAAUAAAGAGCAUCAGUGAAUAACUCUUAGAAGCCGUUUAUUAGAUCAGAUCAUUAAAUAAAUGACUAAAUGAGUCACAACAAACAACAAACUCACUGGACAAUACAGACUGAGAUAUAAAAGAAUAAGAAUAUAAAACAGAAAAACAAGAAAGAAAAAAAUCCCUCAGUCGUCAGAAAGAGAAAACCAGCCAACCUCAUAUUUAACUGGAAGAAUCACUGCACUUACCCCAAAUAAAAUAUUCAAAGCAGCAAAAAAGAAAAUGCAGUUUUGGAAAAAGGAGAGAAAAAAAUGGUAAUAUU